CCGACGGUGAGAGGCGAAAGCUGGGGGAGCAAACCGGAUUAGAUACCCGGGUAGUCCCAGCUGUAAACGAUGCGCGUUAGGUGUGUCAGUGACCACGUGUCACUGAUGUGCCGAAGGGAAACCGUGAAACGCGCCGCCUGGGGAGUACGGUCGCAAGGCUGAAACUUAAAGGAAUAGGCGGGGGAGCACCACAACGGGUGGAGCCUGCGGUUUAAUCGGACUCAACGCCGGAAAUCUCACCGGAUAA
rnacentral:rRNA from 1 species